GAUCAAACUAUAAGACGUGGUGGCUGGUAAGUAACUACCGAAUCGGAAUACUGAUCUACUUCAGGAUCCAUAUUCGCUGCGAUACUGGCUG
rnacentral:sRNA from 1 species